CAGGAGGUUCAGCCGAAGGAUGGAGGCCGGGUUCAGCCCCCACAGAGGCCACUCCAGGGCUGAGAGCAACGCGGCACAAGUGCAGAGUUGGUGCCGCCUUACACCUCCCUCUACGAAGCGCUGGCAAAAAGCGGAGAGGCCAUAACCUGGCCGCUUCUCCGAGAUCAGCCCUAGUCUGGUAAAAACCAGGAGUCCAGAGCCCCAGCCUUUGGGAAAGAGUCGGAAUACAAACCAGGACAGUCAAGGCCUUGAACGCCAGGCGGGGGUCUUGGGCACGGAGCCUUUGGGUGCAGCCGAGACAAAGAUGGAGAGGAAACCACGCUCCCAGAACCAUCCAGAAAGACUGCCAGCCAAGGCAUCCUACCCUUCUUCAACUGGAGAAGAGCUCCUGACAGGCGAUGCCAUUCUGUGCUUGUUUCUACUGCCCGGACCUCCCAAAACCUAGGCUCCUUAUGUGUCCAGGCCAUUCUUUCGGCUUUGCCUAGAAUUCUGUAAGCCAUUUAAAUUCUUC
rnacentral:lncRNA from 1 species